UACGUAGGGUGCAAGCGUUGUCCGGAAUUAUUGGGCGUAAAGAGCUCGUAGGCGGUUUGUCGCGUCUGCUGUGAAAACUGGAGGCUCAACCUCCAGCCUGCAGUGGGUACGGGCAAACUAGAGUGCGGUAGGGGAGAUUGGAAUUCCUGGUGUAGCGGUGGAAUGCGCAGAUAUCAGGAGGAACACCGAUGGCGAAGGCAGAUCUCUGGGCCGUAACUGACGCUGAGGAGCGAAAGCAUGGGGGAGCGAACAGG
rnacentral:rRNA from 1 species